GGACUGUAGCUCAGUGGCAAAGAGCUUGCCUAGCAUACAUGAGGCACUGGGUUCAAUCCUCAGCACCA
rnacentral:tRNA from 1 species